UUGGUGUAGGUAACGGCUCACCAAGCCGACGAUGGAUAGGGGAACUGAGAGGUUGGUCCCCCACACUGGUACUGAGACACGGACCAGACUCCUACGGGAGGCAGCAGUGAGGAAUCUUGGUCAAUGGACGCAAGUCUGAACCAGCCAUGUCGCGUGAAGGAGGACGGCCCUAAGGGUUGUAAACUUCUUUUGCAGCGGAAUAAAGUUUGCCACGAGUUGGCGAUUUGCAAGUACGCUGCGAAUAAGGAUCGGCUAACUCCGUGCCAGCAGCCGCGGUAAUACGGAGGAUCCGGGCGUUAUCCGGAUUUAUUGGGUUUAAAGGGUGCGCAGGCGGGGAUUUAGGUCGGCGGUGAAAUUUCGGGGCUCAACCUCGAUAGUGCCGUUGAAACCGUUUCUCUUGAGUGCGGAUGAGGUAGGCGGAAUUUGUGGUGUAGCGGUGAAAUGCGUAGAUAUCACAAGGAACACCGAUUGCGGAGGCAGCUUACUAAACCGUUACUGACGCUCAUGCACGAAGGCGUGGGGAUCAAACAGGAUUAGAUACCCUGGUAGUCCACGCAGUAAACGAUGAUUACUUGCUGUUUGCGAUACACGGUAAGC
rnacentral:rRNA from 1 species